rnacentral:rRNA from 1 species
UACGGAGGGUGCGAGCGUUGUCCGGAAUCACUGGGCGUAAAGGCGCGUAGGCGGCCUGAUAAGUAGGGGGUGAAAUCUUGCGGCUUAACCGCAAGGCUGCCUUCUAAACUGUCAGGCUAGAGCACAGUAGAGGCAGGUGGAAUUCCCGGUGUAGCGGUGGAAUGCGUAGAGAUCGGGAGGAACACCCGUGGCGAAGGCGGCUCACUGGGCUGACCUUGACGCUGAGGCGCGAAGGCGUGGGGGAGCGAACGGG